rnacentral:rRNA from 1 species
GUACGCUGUGAGUGAGGCGGGACAUUGGGUGUGGAGGAAAGUAGGAUGCGCUGGACCUGAGGUAGAGAGUACUGUACUACCGCUGAAAGUUGGUGUGAUGGAAUGACACAGACGGAAAAGCUUAGUACACGUUGGGUUAUGUGUGUACAGGAAUUUAGGCAGGCAAAGUAGGCAACUCCGAUUUGAUAAUGCCGUGAUGAGACGGGGACCGAAAUGUAGUAGAACAGUAGCUGAUUUGACACAGUCAACAUUAGUCUCUAUCGAGGUUAAAGGUACCCGUACCGUAAACCGACACAGGUGGGUGAGGAGAGUAUCCUAAGGCCAGCGAGAGCACUGUUGUUAAGGAACUCGGCAAAAUGACACCGUAACUUAGGGAUAAGGGGUGCCACCAUCCGGUGGCCGCAGAGAAUAGGCCCAAGCGACUGUUGACCAAAAACAUAGG